rnacentral:rRNA from 1 species
AGAGUUAGAUCCUGGCUCAGGACGAACGCUGGCGGCGUGCUUAACACAUGCAAGUCGAACGAUGAACCUGGAGCUUGCUCUAGGGAAUUAGUGGCGAACGGGUGAGUAACACGUGAGUAACCUGCCCUUGACUCUGGGAUAACCUCCGGAAACGGAAGCUAAUACCGGAUAUGACGCACGGAGGCAUCUCCUGUGCGUGGAAAGAACUUCGGUCAAGGAUGGACUCGCGGCCUAUCAGGUAGUUGGUGAGGUAACGGCUCACCAAGCCUACGACGGGUAGCCGGCCUGAGAGGGUGACCGGCCACACUGGGACUGAGACACGGCCCAGACUCCUACGGGAGGCAGCAGUGGGGAAUAUUGCACAAUGGGCGCAAGCCUGAUGCAGCAACGCCGCGUGAGGGACGACGGCCUUCGGGUUGUAAACCUCUUUUAGUAGGGAAGAAGCGAAAGNGACGGACCUGCAGAAAAAG